GCACCUAUAGCUCAGAUGGAUAGAGCGUUGGACUUCGAAUCCAAGCGUCGCAGGUUCGACUCCUGUUAGGUGUACCA
rnacentral:tRNA from 1 species